rnacentral:snRNA from 1 species
ACUUCGACCAGCUAGAUAU